CAGGAUAGUAGUUUAUAAAAACAUUUGCAUUGGAAGCUAAAAAUCAGGUGGAUACCUGCAUCCUGA
rnacentral:tRNA from 1 species